UGUUAGAUUUCUGGAACUAAAUAUGUAUACGAAUCUCGAUCAUGAUUCAUGUAUAAUUUUGGGGAGUUAUUAAUAAUAGAGCAAAAAUAACUUAGUCCUUACACAAGAUGAGCCAACCCAUCUGAAAAACAAAACAAAAUAAAAUAAAAUUUACUUUUAUCUACCAACCCGGCCCAACCUAUACUAUUACACCUAAGUGUAGAUGUAGGGUUUCCUAUUUAAGACUUUACUCUUCUCCUCCUCUUCAACCCUACCACACCUGAAACAUGUUGUUACUGCCACUGUUCAACCACCAAUUCAUCUUGCUCCAGCUUUGGGUGGUAAACUCUGUGCCUUGGAUGCUUCUUGUAUCUGCAUAUCUCAGCUUGUAGAAAUAGCUGAUAUGGAGAUAAUGGGAUGCUUAGGACCAUAAAUAUACGGAGAGUGAUAUGACUUUCAAAUUUAUCAAUUACAAUCCGACUAAGUGACCCUUUUCUUUUUGCUGCGAGUCUUUUUUAUUGGCUUCUGUAGUAUAGGCUAGCUAGCUGCUUCACUUUUUUUGUUGCCACCAUGGAUUGUAUAUAUUUGCAUGUGAACAAAGCAAGCUUUAGCCUCCCCAUCACCUUCACCCUUUUGAUGGUGACAAUCUUAAGUAAGGGCAUUGUAAUUUUUCACUCUUAAUUAUCCUCUUUGAUUCA